GAUGAACGCUGGCGGCGUGCUUAACACAUGCAAGUCGAGCGAAGCACUUAAGUUUGAUUCUUCGGAUGAAGACUUUUGUGACUGAGCGGCGGAUGGGUGAGUAACGCGUGGGUAACCUGCCUCAUACAGGGGGAUAACAGUUAGAAAUGACUGCUAAUCCCGCAUAAGACCACGGUACCGCAUGGUACAGUGGUAAAAACUCCGGUGGUAUGAGAUGGACCCACGUCUGAUUAGGUAGUUGGUGGGGUAACGGCCUACCAAGCUGACGAUCAGUAGCCGACCUGAGAGGGUGACCGGCCACAUUGGGACUGAGACACGGCCCAGACUCCUACGGGAGGCAGCAGUGGGGAAUAUUGCACAAUGGAGGAAACUCUGAUGCAGCGACGCCGCGUGAAGGAUGAAGUAUUUCGGUAUGUAAACUUCUAUCAGCAGGGAAGAAAAUGACGGUAC
rnacentral:rRNA from 1 species